rnacentral:lncRNA from 1 species
AAACCGUCAAGUGAAUGAAGAGAAGCCUCCUCCGCGAGUGUGUCCAAGGUGUAGCUCAGACAACACCAAGUUCUGUUUCUACAACAACUAUAGCGUGUCUCAACCUCGCUACAACUGCAGGAGCUGUCGCCGAUUCUGGACUCAUGGUGGAGUUUUAAGGAACAUACCAAUUGGUGGAAGGGCCCGCAAAGUCAAGCGUACAAGGAUAGAUCAGCCAUCUGUUUCUCAGGUGGUUUCUGUUGUUGAACAGGUUAAUAAUCACCAACCUUUCUCACAUGCUCAAGAAACCAACGAAAUUCUUGGAACUUUUGGUGGUUCUUCUUCUUCUGCUGCUGCUGUUGGGAACCAUUUCAGUUAUUCGACUGAAACUCAUAGUGUGAUGGCGCCUCCAAUUCGAAGCAUUCCACCAAUGGCUCGCUUUGAUGGAUCUUUUAACCAAGGUUAUUACGGUGAUGGAUUCAAUGAUUUGGUUGGUAAUCCUUUGAUGAACCAAUCAUUUGGUGGAAAUGUUGGUAAUUAUAACAGUUACUUCGUAAAUCAAGAGGAUCCAAACAAGCGAAACCAGAGCUUCAACAACAGCAUGAACAUGAAUCAUAGUGCCAGCACUAGUGGAAGCAGAGAAUAUCCAGGCAUUGAUUACAUGAUCAAUAACAACAACAAGAAGUAUGUGUUUCGUUCCGCCUAUCAUUUGGAGAAGCAUGGUCCUUGAAUCAUAACCGUUUUACCCGUUUUCUUUUAAGCUAAUAAUGUUUCAGCUUUUCGUUUCUUCUGUUGGGUCUUCUUAUUUAAGUUCUAAGAGUUUGCAUCUUUGUAUCAGGCAUAAGUUACUUGUCCGGUCUUUGUAUAAUAUUACUAAUUUAUAAUCACCAGUUUGUUGUGUGUUUCAUAACUGAUGAGUCAGAGAGUCAGAGAGAUAUCUAUGUGUUUCAAGUGUUUAUGUAUUGCUCUGUUUUAGCUUAUUCUCUGUUUUAAAUAGCGCCUAAUCACAUAUGUGAGAAGGGAGUAACUAUAAAAUUAAUCUAUGACUAUUUCUAAAAUUUUGAGUUUGUAUUUAUUAAGUUAAAUAAAUUCCAACCUAAAGCCAAUGAAUGAUAAAUAAAUUGACACUAUUUUUCUUAUAUAUUACUUAAGAUAUUUCAAAACUUUCAAUGUUAGAUGUUUGUCUUUAUUACGCUUUUUCAAGAUGAUUACUCUUUGAUCAUCAGUCUUGAAAUAUUUGGAUACAGAUUAAUGAGCGAAUUUUUUAUUACAUCAAUUAUGGAUUAGGUUAGAUAAUAUCGAUUGGGCUUUGAUUUUUUUUUGCUAAACUGUAAAUAUCAUAUAUGAAGAUAGAUUCUACAAAAAAUAUUAUAUUGGUUCUAAGCCAUCUUGGCAAAAAAGUUAAAAACAAGAUGGGUCAACAUUUUAAACUAGAGACUAAGGACUUAUCGAAGCCACAUAGCCAUAAAAUCUCUGAAUUUCUUAUUCUUCCUUCUAGCGGAGAUAACGUUUCUCAGCUCUUUGUCAAUGCUCCUCAAGACCGCGAUCGACGGGAGAGAGAUCUGAUUAUGGAUCAAGUUAUUCCGCUGCUUCCACAGCUGAAACACCACUGUUUGAGUUGCUAAUUUCUUAAGCAGAGAUAGUCACAGCUGAAACAUUAUGGAUCGAUUGGGCUUUGAUACCAUAUUAAAUUAUAUAUGAUUUCAAACUAAUAUAUUAUUUUAGAACUCUUCCGACAUGAGACUUUGUUCCUAAUAGUAUAUCUUCUGUCAAUCAAAAUUUCUACAGGAGACUGUUAAAAUAUUGCUGUUCGAAGGUCAUAAAAUUAAACUAAGCAGCCUGUGGUUCAGCGAGAAAUGUGCUUGGCCGUUUAGAGUAUUGUUUGAGCUCUUAAUUUGUAAACCACCUUUAUUUGAUAUGAUAACAAAAUAAAUUUUAUGUUGUGGGGCCAAGUCUUUCAAAUGCCUGUGGCUAUUGUUACUCUGUUUUCUGUUGUUCAUCUACAAUUUGCAAAUAUACAAUUUUGAGUUUUUGUUCUUCCGUUUAACUUUUCGAAAGUUUUUUUUCAUUACCUUGGAGGAAAUUUUGAUAAAUCCCUUAUAAAGUGAUUUAUGGGAGAUGUAUUAAAAUAGGUUACUCGAUAUAUAAACUUUUUUUUGGUUGUCAAAUAUAUAAUCUUUACUCUUAUGGCUUAACUAAUGUCUUUAAAAAUCAACAGCUUUCCACACCAUAUGGAAAAUGGAAGAAAGUAGAGCGAGGGGGAACACAGCUAUGAUGAUCCUGAGCAGUUUAUUUUCAGUUUUGGAUUGAGUGUUACAACUGUAUUUCAAAGUUGUGCCUAUAUACACUGGACACAUGUAUUUGAUUUAAAGACUGUAUAUAUUCGCUACUCGAUUCUCCUUGCCACCUCUUGUUUUCAGUUUUACAUUCCAGUUAGGCCAGGGACGACGAGUGAAGUAAAUUUGAGUAUACUAUAGAGAAUGAUAAGCAACGAAGCACCAGUGGUCUAGUGGUAGAAUAGUACCCUGCCACGGUACAGACCCGGGUUCGAUUCCCGGCUGGUGCAUUCCCUUUGAGCUGUGAAGAUAAAUGGUUGAACGAAGGUUGGGUCCUUCGUGCUCAUCUGAUUUCUUCCAGAUGAUAUUGCCCCAUGCUGAGCUCUUUUUUUUUUCCUCCUCUUCGGUUCAUUUAAAAGGUGCUGCUAGACGGCAAUACAUAAAAAUUGAAGGCAACGUAAGCAAACAAGAUUGCUUCCAACAGGAAAAUGAAUUUAUUAAAAUCUCCAUGUUCCACGAAGAAGAAAAAAAGCAAUGAAACUCACAACAACAAAUUUAACAACAUCAAAUCAACUGGAAGUUUUAUGUGUGUGUUUAAGGCGUAGAAGAGUUAAUAAAAUUGAACUAAUGAGAGAAAGAGAUCUAUAUGUAUGUGUGUUUCCUUGUUUUCAAGUGUUUGAUCUCUUCAUGUAUUGUUCUGUUCUUAAGCUACGGUUAAUCUCAUGUAUGUGUAGAUGCAUUGGUAUAUAAAUAAGAUAAAUCUAUACUGUGGUUCAGUCUAUAACCUCAUUUCUUACGGCAGUUCUGUCUAGAAUAUUAAUUUCAAUAUCAAUCACGAGGAGUUUAGCUUUGGACUCUAAUCUUCCACUAGGCCCAUAAUCAUCAUUUGCUAAUAUCAAUAACACGGCAUAAAGCACUUUUUCCACCGAAUUUUGAAUUAAGAGCACAACACCAUCUAUGCAUGUGCAUAAACCACUAGUCUACUACGUUCGGUGUUAUUACUAUUUGUUGUUCGAUGGUCAUAAAAUUCAUUUUGCUGUGGGUGUUCAGUACUUCGGUGACAUUCUUUUUUUGGCUUUUCACCCAAGCUUGUUAACCGUUUCUAUUUUUUACUGCAAACCAUCUUAAUUUGAUUUGAAUAAAAGUCAUAACCAUUGUAUUGUGGCGCGAACCAUUUAAAAUAAUAAUACUAGACAUUUUUUGAACAUUUUUUAAUAGACUUUGGAGUAUCUCUUUUUCCCGCUUAUUUCAAAACUGAGAUUUACCAUCCAUGACUAUAUAUAGAGAUAUAUCCCUCAAAAGGAUGAUACAUAGAGGUGCUUUGUGUUUUUGAAGAUAGGUUACUUGAUAUCGUGUUUAGUUAGCCGGUCUUGAAAAAUAGAUGACUUGAUACAAAAACCUUUUGUUAUGAGUGAGUCUCUUGCUUUCUUGAUACUCAUUUGCUUGCUAUUUAGACCUUUCAGUUCUCAUCAUCUGUAUCCAUUAUAAUAUGGUCAACUCUAAACACAUACUAUAAUUUAGUUUCUUACGCACAUUCCUUUUGGUAUCUGGUAUUUGGCAUUGCCGUUUAUUCUCACAAGAUGUAUCCACUUUAUAUAGAAAAAACUCCUAAACAUAUAUUUAUAUCAAUAAAUUUUCUUAUGAUGUGCCAGUAACAACAUGUAUAAUUAGUCUGAUCUCAUAAUAAAUCACUAAUAAUUUUCUAGUAAAGUAAAUUAUCUAAGUGUUUUGUCGAUUUCGAAAAAUAAGGAUUUCAUAUUAAUAUUUGACUAUUUUUUCCUCAUAUUAGAUAUUAAUUUUAACUAAAGCAUUUCAUCAUUUUAAUCUAUUUAAAGAUGUAAAAUCUUGUGAAGAUGUUCAUAUAGAAAAAAUUACCUUCCACACCAAUGAGACUGCGCGUGAGCUUACACGCUCGCAAAUACUCUCUUUCAUAAUAAACACUUACAAAUUACAAUUGCUUUGCCAUUAAUUGGCAUUAUACUCUCAAUGCCCCCUAGAUCUUUUUUAUGGUUAUCUUAACUCAUUUAUUCAUAUCUUAACUCUCAAAUUUUUAUAUACAUCCAAGAGUUAAGAAUAAGAGAGCCUUGGUUUUUGACUAAUAUUAGCCUAAGGUUUAUUGUGUGAAGAAAUCUUCAGAUUCUAUUAGUACACAACCUCUGACACGUUUUGCUCAUAAUCUCAGUCUUUUAAUAACAAGAUGCAUCUCUUCUUCAGUUUCCACGCCCCAAGAAUAUAUAUAAGAACCACUCCACAACACCAAAGAGCAUAACAACAACAACACCAAAACUAAGAAGAGCUCUUGAGAGAAAUGGAUAACUCGAAUGUGGUCGUUAGGGGAAACCGUCAAGUGAAUGAAGAGAAGCCUCCUCAGCGAGUGUGUCCAAGGUGUAGCUCAGACAACACCAAGUUCUGUUUCUACAACAACUAUAGAGUGACUCAACCUCGCUACAACUGCAGGAACUGUCGCCGAUUCUGGACUCAUGGUGGAGCUUUAAGGGACGUACCAAUUGGUGGAAGAGCCCGCAAAAUCAAGCAUAUAGAUCAGCCAUCUGUUUCUCAGGUGGUUCCUGAUGAGAUCCAGCAGGUUAAUCAUCACCAACCUUUCUCACAUGUUCAAGAAACAACCCAGUUUCUUGAACCAUUUGGUGGUUCUUCUUCCUCUGCUGUUGUUGGGAACCAUUUCAGUUCGUUGCCUGAAACUCAUGGUGAUAUGAUGCUUCCAACUCGAAGUAUUCCACCGAUGGAUCUCUUUGAUGGAUUGUUUCACCAAGGUUAUUACGGUGCUGGACUCAAUAAUUUUGUUGGUAAUCAUUUGAUGAACCAAUCAAUUGGUGGACAUGUUGAUAACUAUAGCAGUUACCGCGUGAACCAAGAGAAUCCAAACAUGCGAAACCAGAGCUUCACCAACACCAUGAUGAUGAACCAUAAUGCCGGCACUAGUGAAAGAAGAGGAUAUCCAGGCAUUGAUCAGAUGAUCAACAACAACAACAACAACAACAACAACAAGUCUGUGUUUAGAUCCUCCUAUCAUUAGGAGAAGCAUGGUCCUUGAAUCAUAACCGUUUUACCCGUUUUCUCUUUAUAUUAUGCUAAUAAUGUUUUAGUUUUUCGUUUAUGGUUUGUGUUCGGUCUUCUUGUUUUUCAGCUCUGUUGGGUCUUUUUGAUUUAAGUUCUAAAACUAUGCAUCUUUGUUUCCUUAAAUAUUAAGACAUAAGUUACCUGUCUGGUCUUUUCUAUAAUAUAUAUAAUUAAUCAUCACCAGUUCGUUGUGGGUUUCAUAACUUAUUAGUAAAAGAAAUAUAUAUGUGUUUUCAAUUUUUUUAUGGAUUGCUCUGUUUUUCUGAAAACGCCUGAUAUACAAGUUAUGUUACAAUCACUGAAAAAAAGAUAUCUCUAAAAGAAAUUCAAAUAUACUUAAAUUUGAUUUAUGUAAUAUUAAAUAUUUAAAUUAACAUAAUAAUUAGUUCGAUUUAAAUAUUUGGAUGGAGAAUAAAUAAAUAUUUUCAGUAUUUUGAACAUUUUCUGUAAUUUUUUAUAUUUACUUGUGGCUAUAUUGAUGAUUUUUAGAUAUUUUUAUUUUCUGAAUAUCUAAUAGAUAUAGAAUUUAAAAUAAUUAACAUAUUUAAGUAUAUAGUGAUUUAGAUACUUUUGAUAUCAAAAUAUUUUAAUUUGGAUCACAUUCAAGUCUGGUUAUCUGGAUAUUAAACUUUUAGAUUCAUCUGACUAAAUAAUCAGUUUUAUUUUUUGUUUAGUAUUACUUUCAAAUCUAGUUUGGUUAUUCGGAUCCAUAUAUUUUACCUAGACUUAUUUUCUUCUAUAUAAUAAAGAAAGAAUAAAAUAAAUAUAAACAAAUAUUCUAGGUUUAUUUAACAUAUCCUAUAUAUUAAUAGAGAAACAUUUAAAAAGUUAUAACUUGUAGUUUGUAUUAAUUAAAAAAGUGUCAUGAUGAGUUGUCACGUAAUUAGAAUGCUAAUUUUUCUUACAUGGCGGCUUGAGAAUCAAUUGAAAAUUUUGUUAGUCCCAAAUUAAAUUGAUAGGGAAUAUUAUAUUAUAUAAUAUAUCUAUUAUGAACCAUUCAUUUAUCAAAUUGAAUUUUUUCCUUAAAUAAAACCUAUGGAAUUACCAAAUGUGAUUAAGAUAUAUAUGACAAUUAAUGAUUUUUAAUAAUAAAGAUUUGCUAACAAUUUGUAUACUUUCUAUCAUUUUUGUUUAAUUAUUUAUUAUUAAAAUAAAUUACAUAAUUACAUUGAUCAUAUAAUAAAAAUUUAGAUUUUUUUGUAUAUGUUGUCUUUUGAAUUUUUCAAAACUAGUAUAAAUUACUAAAACAAGUGUCACAUAAACUUUUGUUAUCAAGGUUUAAUUUUUUUCUAUAAUAAAAUACAAUGAUUAUAAAAUCAUAUGAAUAAAUAAUUUUAUUUUAAUAGAUGUUAUGUUAAUAUAUAUAUAUAUAUUUCAUAUCAUUUAAAUUAAACUAUAUACAUCAUAUGAAAAUACAUACUUAUAUUUUAAUAUCUACCUUGAACAUAUAUUGAAAAGUUAAUAUUUUAAUUUUUGAAAUCUUUAUUGUUUUUUAAAUGAUUAUAAAUUAUUGAAACCACUAAGCAUUCCACAUAAAAAACAAAAUCGUUGGUGUAAAAUUUUGUUACACAAAUAUGCAAAUAAUCAUAAAAUCAUAUGAGUAAAAACAUCAUUUAAUAAAUAUCCAUAUUAAAAGUAUACUGUAUAUCUAUGUUAAUAUCAUUUAAAUUUAAUUAUAUAUCAUAUACGAUAAUAAUAUUGAUUGUUUUGAUUUAUUUACACUAAAGUGAUUGCGGUCGUUUGAUUUAUACGUGCAUGCAAAUUUAUUACAUAACAGUAACUUAUUUAUUAGUUAUUUAAUAUAUAAUUGUUAUUUUAUUAUUUUAAAACGUGAAGAAAAACAUAAAAUAAGUAAUAAAUAUAAAUUAUUUAUUCUGGUCAAGGCGCGGAUCUUAACCAAAGUAUGUAUAUCUUUAAUAAUUUUAAAUCUUUAACAUUUUCUAAAUCUCAGGCCAAAACAAAAUAACGAAAUGAGAAUAAACUUAAAAAUAAAUAUUUAUAUCGAGCAAUAACCAAAAUAAAAAAAAACGACACAAAAAUGAAAAGAAAUAUUGAAGAUAUUUAGAACUAGCACGUGAACGUGUACUUCUCAUUACCAUAAUUAACUUUUAAAUUAUUAAAUCAUGAUAUAAAACUGAGCUCUCAUAUUUUCAUUGUAACUAAAUAGUAGGCCUCAGAUUUGUGGGCAUAAACGUUAGGUUCUUAUGCGAUAAAUGCUUUUUUGACCUAAAAAUAUUUUUAAAUAGGAUCAGCUCAUAAAUAAACAAAUUAUAUAAUUAACAAAAAAAAUAAAAAAAUUAUUUAAGGGCCACAAAUAUUUAUUCAAUCAAGAAUAUAAAUUUUAUUUUUCCGUACGAUAUUUCUUAAAUAAUUUUCAUAUAAAUUUUCCAUGCGCCGCUUAUCCUAGUACAUAAUUAUUGGACAAUACUUUUAGAAUACCAAUAAAAAUGGAUGGGCUUCGUGUCAAUAUUGUUGGGCAUGUUGCAAAAUUGAUGUUGUCUAUAACCAAUAACGUAUAUUUUCUUAUAAAAAAUUCUUGGUACAUAUAAUAAAACACGAUAAAAUCGAGGGAAAAGUGUUAGAGUUGCGUGGAAAAUAAUGUGAUCUCUUCACUCUGCACCUUAAUUCUAUUUUUCAAUCGAUUGACGAUUUUUUUUCUUUUAAAGCUUUACUGAUUUAUGAUUAUUUUUUAGCAAUCUGAUCAUGUUUCUAAUUUUUUGUCUGAUAUGAAAAUUUCGUAAAGAAAAGUAAUAUUUGGCUAAACUAAAGAUCUGAUUUUGUGUGUGUGUGUUUUUACCUGAGUUUCCUAAAUUCAUAACCAAUCACAAUUAUUUAUUACCCUCGUGUGCAUAAGCCUGAACCAUGGCUAAGUUCGGUAUGAUACAAAGCUUUCGAUUUCUAAAACAUUUUCAUUCCAACAUUUUAGUUGAUGAAAAAUCUUAAUGAUUUGUAAUUUUUUUCUUUCAAAAUGAUAUUAUUCAAUAGUUCUACGAAGAAAAUUUCAGUUCACUAUUAUAAAGGUUAAAAGUACAGUAACUGAAAAUGACAUGAUAAAAAAAAAUUAGUAUGAACAUAUUAAAUUAUUUGCAGUGGAGUUAAAAAAUUUAGUAUGUAAAUGCAUUAAUUGUUAAAUGAUUGUGAUGUCAACACGUAAGCAUAAUCAAAUUGAAAUCAAUGUGAGACUAACACGUGGUGAAUAUAGUGUGAACGCAUUAAUGACAAUUUUUUUUUUAAUAUAUGGAGAUUAAACUAAUUACUAAAGUUGUGAAAAUAAAUUAAUUUAUUUAAAAUAUUUGACUUCUUAGUAUAAUCAUUUAGCUUAUUUUUGUAUAUAUGUUAUUUAACAUAACUAUUUAUCAUUUUAUAUUUAAAAAUUUAUCAUUUUAUGUUUAAAAAUUUUAAAUAUUGUUAUCAAAAAAUUAAAUAAUAUGAAGAAGUUAAUUCCAGAAAUAAUCCACUGAAACGUAUUAUUCUAUUUAAUGAUAUUUUUUGUAUUUUUCAGUGAAAAACGCAUAUUUAUUUUUACGUUUUCUUUCAGAAAAUUUUAUUGUAUAAAAACUUAUUUAAUCGUGUUUUUAUCCACAAUUCCAUCAUUCUGCAUGUUACCAAUCAAAGAUUAUUUUAGUUUUGUUUUUUUUAUUUGGGUUUUGGGUUAUUUAUAGUUUACUUUGGUUCUGAACUGAACCCAAACCCAACCCAAAAUUGUGUAAAUUUUGAAUGGGGCCUAUGAAGUUAAACCCAAAAAAACUUAAAAACCCAAAAGCUCGAUCCGAACACAAACGCUCACCACUUUAGGGAACGAAUAGAAAAGGAGGGUUCAAAAGGAGGCCACAAAGCUGCUUUGACUUCUUCGUCAAGUAACAACAAUGACUCAUUGGUAGAGAAUGUGGAAGCCGAGAGCCUGGAAACUCAGCCAACUCAGGAGGUAGAGGAAGAUUUUAAGGUAGAAUCUCCGGUUACAAAGGGAGAGAAUGAAGAAGAUGUGAAGGGAAAUCAGCCAAUGCAAGACAUAGACGAAGCACCCAAGAUGGAAUCUCUGCUUGCAAAAGAAGGAGAGAUCAAAGAAGAGGAAAAUGAGGAAAAUAAAGGAGAACAACCCGAUUCCUCAACAUAAUAUGAGAAGGAUCCAAACGCGAGUCAAGAGGACGAGGCAAAAGGCACAUCUUCUUUGCAACCGCAAGCUGACAAAAAAGAAAGAGGAGAAAUAGAAGCAACUUUGUCUUGGUAAGGGUAAGAGACUAAGAGUAAGAGAGUCUCGUUGAAGGAAGCAGAGAACAAAAAGCUCCCCGAGCUAAGCGAGCCAGGCCAAAGUGAUUAAUUGUAUGCCUCGUAGAGCUUAUUUCAGGAAGAAGAAGAAGAAGAAGAAGAGUGGUGAUGACGUUGGAGACAAGGCGGAAGAUGUUUAAAAGAGUUUUAAUCCAAAGAGGGAAAGACUUGGAGUGAGAUAAAGUCUUUUAGUUCUUUUAUUGAAUAAGAAAGAUAUAUAAUAGAGGGAGAGGAAAAAUAUUUUUUAUGCUUUUUCAUACUUUGAACUGAGUAUUCGAAUUGGAGUUCUUUACUGGCGAUUUGGUGAUCGCCGAGCUUCGAUUAAGUGGGGCUAAUCGAUAGCGAGUUGUAAUAGUUGUCUGGUGAUUUUCGAUUACGUUGCGAAUAGAGAGUUACGGAUUUGGAGUUCAUAAGACUAAGCCGCAAGAAGCUGAGCCUUAGUGCUUCAAGGACAAGGGUUGUUUGGUAUGCUAGGUUACUCAUAUUCCUGCUGGAUAUUGAUACAGCCAUACAGGCAUGGAAGAUCAAAUCAAAAGGCAGGAAAAAACGUAUUCUCUGUUUUUGAGCUACGCUUCAUGAUCUCAUUUAUGUGUAGAUGCAUUUUAAAAGUAAGAUAAAUUUAUUAUAUAAAUUUAGAGUAUUAGUUAUGUCUAUAACCUUUUUCUUACGGCAGUUAUGUAUGUCUAGAGUAUUAGUUAGUUUCUAUAUCAAUCGCAAUUUCGACUGACCUAUUUGUUUUUCGAAGGUCAUAACUUCACUUAUGAUGUUGGAUUCGGUACUUCGGUUAAUUUCUUUUUUUUUUUGACUUAUUGACCGUUUCUAAUUUGUGACACCUCAUUUUAGCCUUUAUAUUGGUUAGCAAACCAUCCCCUUAAUUUAAUUUAAAUAACAUAUUAACCAUUAUAUUUUGGCGCGAACCAUUUGAAAUAAUACUAGACAUUUUUUGAACUUAAUAUAAUAAACUUUGAGUAUUCUGUUUUUCCCGCAUUUUACAACCACUCUUUAAGAUUUGAAGUUCCAUUUACCUAGGCCUUUCAGUUCUCACCAUUGUAUCCAUUUCUCACAAACAUACCUUCUUGCCUCGUGGUAUUUGGCUUUGCAGUCUAUUCUCACAAGAGGUGUCCAUUUUUAUACAUGAAACUCCUAAACAUAUCUUUACAUCAACAAAGUCUUAUGAUGAGCCAGUAAAAACACGUACGAACCACCACAUACUCACACACAUUGUAUUUGCCCUCUUAAUAACUCACAACUACACUGUUAAAUUAAGUCUGAUCUCUUAAUAAAUCCACUAAUAAAUCCCUAGAAAGUAAAUUAUCUAAGUUUUGUCGAUUUCGAAAAAUAGGGAUUUCAUAUUAAUGUUUUACUACUUUUUUUUCUUCAUACCGAGUAUUAUUUUCAACAAAAGCAUUUCAACAUUUUAUCUAUUUAAAGAUGACAAAUCUUGUGAAGAUUUUUCUAUUGAAAAAAUUAUCUUCCUCGCCAAUGAGACUGCGCGUGAACUUGCACGCUCGCACAUAUUCUCUUUCGCAAUAAACACCUACAAGUUACGAUUGCUUUGGCUUUAACUACCAUUAUACUCUCAAUGCCUCAUAGAUCUUUUUCUGUUUAUAUGACAACUCAUUUGAUAACACUAUGAUUCUCUAAUUUUCAUAUACAUCCAAGAAUUAAGAGCUAGAGAGCGUUGGUUUUUGACUAUUCUUAGCUUAAGGUUUAUUGUGUGAAGAGAUCUUCAGAUUUUAUUAAUACACAACCUCUGACACGUUUUGCUCAUAAUCUCAGUCUUUUAAAAACAAAAUGUAUCUCUUCUUCAGUUUCCACUCCCCAAGAAUCUAUAUAAGAGCCCCCUUCACAACACCAAAGAUCACAACAACAAAACCUAGUAGAGCUCUUGAGGGAAAUGGAUAAGUUGAGUGUUAUCGUUAAGGGAGACCAUCAAGUGAAUGAAGAGAAGCCUCCACCACGAGUGUGUCCAAGGUGUAGCUCAGACAACACCAAGUUCUGUUACUACAACAACUACAGUGUGUCUCAACCUCGCUACAACUGCAGGAACUGUCGCCGAUUCUGGACCCAUGGUGGAGCUUUA